rnacentral:rRNA from 1 species
GAUGAACGCUGGCGGCGUGCUUAACACAUGCAAGUCGAACGGAAAGGCCCCUUUGGGGGUACUCGAGUGGCGAACGGGUGAGUAACACGUGAGUAACCUGCCCUUGACUUCGGGAUAACUUCAGGAAACUGGGGCUAAUACCGGAUAGGAACCCUUGCUGCAUGGUGGGGGUUGGAAAGCUUCGGCGGUUUUGGAUGGACUCGCGGCUUAUCAGCUUGUUGGUGGGGUAGUGGCUUACCAAGGCUUUGACGGGUAGCCGGCCUGAGAGGGCGACCGGCCACAUUGGGACUGAGAUACGGCCCAGACUCCUACGGGAGGCAGCAGUGGGGAAUAUUGCACAAUGGGCGGAAGCCUGAUGCAGCAACGCCGCGUGCGGGAUGACGGCCUUCGGGUUGUAAACCGCUUUCAGCAGGGGCGAAGCUUGUGGUGACGGUACCUGCAGAAGAAGCACCGGCUAACUACGUG